rfam:Anaerobacillus alkalilacustris strain DSM 18345 Ga0137925_101, whole genome shotgun sequence.
UCGCAAUAGACGGGGCGGUAGCGGUGCCUUGUAGCCUACAAUCCGCUAUAGUAGGGUCGAAUUCCUAUCGAAGGUCUAGUCAUGUGUGGUCAGUACUUUUAAUUUGAUGUUGAGGAAAAAGUCUUUUACAACGAAAAACCCACGAACGGGUCAGAUCCGGAAGGAAGCAGCCAUAAAGGGGACACUUUUCUUGUGUAAAAGAGUACUUUUUCUGAGUCAAAGAGAAAGGUAACGCAUGGAUGGUUAUAUCGUAGAUAGGUUUGCGA